rnacentral:tRNA from 1 species
AUCUACCUAGUUUAAGCAAAACAAUAGUUUGUGGAGCUAUAAAUUCUUAAUAUAAUAUUUACAUC